UACAGAGGGUGCGAGCGUUAAUCGGAAUUACUGGGCGUAAAGCGUGCGUAGACGGUAUGUAAGUACGGGUGGUGAAAGCCCCGGGCUCAACCUGGGAAUUGCAUUCGAGACUGCAUAGCUAGGGUGCGGAAGAGGGAAGCGGAAUUUCCGGUGUAGCGGUGAAAUGCGUAGAUAUCGGAAGGAACACCGGUGGCGAAGGCGGUUCUCUGGGCCUUACCUGACGCUGAGGAGCGAAAGCGUGGGGAGCGAACAGG
rnacentral:rRNA from 1 species